rnacentral:rRNA from 1 species
UCCGAAGGGUGCGAGCGUUAUCCGGAAUCAUUGGGCGUAAAGAGCUCGUAGGCGGUUCAGCAACUCGGCUGUGAAAGUCCGAGGCUCACACUCGGAAUUGCAGUCGAUACUGCUGUGACUCGAGUCCGGUAGAGGAGAACGGAAAUCCCGGUGGAGCGGUGAAACGCGCAGAUAUCGGGAGGAACACCAGUAGCGAAGGCGGUUCUCUGGGCCGGCCCUGACGCUGAGGAGCGAAAGCGUGGGGAGCGAACAGG